UACGGAGGGUGCGAGCGUUGUCCGGAAUCACUGGGCGUAAAGAGCGUGUAGGCGGCCACGCAGGUCCGUUGUGAAAACUGGAGGCUCAACCUCCAGCUGUCGACGGAAACCGUAUGGCUAGAGUCCGGAAGAGGAGAGUGGAAUUCCUGGUGUAGCGGUGAAAUGCGCAGAUAUCAGGAGGAACACCGGUGGCGAAGGCGGGUCUCUGGGCCGAAACUGACGCUGAGGAGCGAAAGCGUGGGGAGCGAACAGG
rnacentral:rRNA from 1 species